GACGAACGCUGGCGGCGUGCUUAACACAUGCAAGUCGAACGGUGAAGCGCCUUCCUUUUUGGUCGGUGUGGAUGAGUGGCGAACGGGUGAGUAACACGUUAGUAUCCUUCUCCCUUCUUCUGGAUAACCGCAUGAAAGUGUUGCUACUACGGGAUAUUCUGAGUCUGUCGCAUGAUGGGUCUGGGACAGUUAUUGUUUCGGUGGGGGAUGGGCUCGCGGCCUAUCGGCUUGUUGGUGGGGUGAUGGCCUACUAAGGCGGUGACGGGUAGCCGGCCUGAGAGGGUGGACGGUCACACUGGGACUGAGACACGGCCCAGACUCCGACGGGCGGCAGCAGUGGGUAAUAUUGCACAAUGGGCGGAAGGCUGAUGCAGCGACGCGGCGUGAGGGAUGGAGGCCGUCGGGUUGUGAACCUCUUUCGCCAGUGAAGCAAGCCUGACGCGUUUGUGGGUGGGUUGACGGUAGCUGGAUAAGAAGCGCCGGCUAACUACGUG
rnacentral:rRNA from 1 species